AAAGUCGUAACAAGGUCUCCGUAGGUGAACCUGCGGAGGGAUCAUUAUCGAACGGGGCCCUCGUGUCCCUCGACUCACAAACCAGGUGGAAGCGACCCGUGCUUCGGCGCUCCGGCGCCGCAUUUAUGCAGAUAAGCAUUUGUGUCUGAACAUACAUGAGAAUUAAAACUUUCAACAAAGGAUCUCUUGGCUCUC
rnacentral:misc_RNA from 1 species